AACCGAGAGAUCGGCGUUCCCUUCGGGGACAGGGUGACAGGUGGUGCAUGGUUGUCGUCAGCUCGUGUCGUGAGAUGUUGGGUUAAGUCCCGCAACGAGCGCAACCCUCGACCUUAGUUGCCAGCAUUCAGUUGGGCACUCUAAGGUGACUGCCGGCUAAAGUCGGAGGAAGGUGGGGAUGACGUCAAAUCAUCAUGCCCUUAUGACCUGGGCUACACACGUGCUACAAUGGGCGGUACAAAGGGUCGCGAACCCGCGAGGGGGAGCCAAUCCCAAAAAGCCGCCCUCAGUUCGGAUUGCAGGCUGCAACUCGCCUGCAUGAAGCCGGAAUCGCUAGUAAUCGCGGAUCAGCAUGCCGCGGUGAAUACGUUCCCGGGCCUU
rnacentral:rRNA from 1 species